AAGAGGAGUAAAGACGGAAUGACACACAUAGCACGAUCGGCUGGACGUCUCUGCUUUUAGCUAAAUCUCCAGGCUUUUGCCCAAUACCUGGAUUUAGUCGUGGUGCACAUGCCACAAGUGGAGGUUCCACCAAGAACAGGAAAGAAAGGGAACCCUGAGAAAUUGCCCUUCAAAAGGCUGCUGCCAGCAAAGUUACAUGGUUGGAUGAAGCAAGACCCCCCUGAAGCAAUGUCCAGGUGAUCCAGCAUUGAAGACACCUGGGAUGAUGCAGUCAUAGACCACUAAGAUUAUAGGUGUGAUAUGCCUGCCUGUGUGCCCUGGGAGACGUUUGUAUCCUUGAUUGUGAAUAAGAAGAACCAUCCAGAAGCUGCUUUUGGACACUGGUCUUCAAGGCUGGUUUCUUUGCGCUCACCUUGGGUGCCUGUUGGACAUGACAUCCUUUUGUAUUGACAGAAGGCUGAGAAACCUGAAUAGCACCCAACUCAGGUACCAGAUUUCUUCUUUCUAGCAUUCAGGCAAGAGCUGAUACGAGAUUUGUUUGUGUGACUUUUGCUCUCCUGGCUGGUAAAUUGGAGAAGUUUCAUUCCUGGAGCCUGGAUUCUGACUUGAGACCUGGCCGCCCUUUGGUCCCACAGUUUGUACACAAGAAUUUGCAGCUAUACCAGGAUGUUUCUAUUUGUCCUGAGUUUAAUGUCAUGGACUAAACCAGGCGGCUGAAGUUCACACUCAGGGGAAAUACAGAUUUCUCGACUGUCCUCCUGAAGCUGGGGGCAGAAUCCUGGCAGUUGCUGAAAUUGGACCUCGGGGUGUGUCUGAUAAUCCUCUAUCAUGUGAGAUUACUAAUCCAUUAGUGUUCUCUUCUUGUCUCUUUUUAUAAGAACACGAGGGGGUGGUUGUUCUCAUAGUGGUGUCGUGUCUAGUGGGAGACCAAUUGAGACAGGACCCAUUGAUGCUUUCUUCUUGGUCAUUUGAAAAAGCAUUAGUCUGGUAGGUUUCCUCAAAAGAGAACAAAAUUCUACUUGUUCUUUACAGCUCCUCAUCCUCUUCUCUGGAGAGCUUCUGGGAAAUUUCUGAUGUAGAGGUUUCCUUGGAAGCACUUCUUGCAUUUGUCUGUCUUUCUCCUCUCCCUCAGUCUUUUUAAAUAUUCCUGUAGUCUGGAGCUCCUGGGCCUUGUUUUCAGCUUCUGCUCAUUUUUUGACCCCAGAGGCUGGACAGGAAGGGCUUCAUUCCAAUGUUUCUUGGAACACAAUCUGCUCCUUGCCCUGUGUCCAAAGGCUUAACAGUUCUUGCAUUUUAACCUCUUUUCUUGGUCUUCAUGACUUUGAGGGAUUGGAUUUGGUGGGGACACUGCAGGCUGACUGUUUUUAUUAGAAACACAAAGAGCUGUGGGGUCCUUCCCUGGCAGCAGCUGCAAUUGAAUCAAAACCUCCACAGAGGCAGCAGCCACCCAUUUCUCAGUCAUCAAAUCGAUGUCUCUUUGUGGGAUCCCACACUGUUUUAGGAACUGUUGCCCUCUUCCAUUGAAAGCUUGUUUGGAUCCAUCUCUGCUGGGCACCUCAAGGGACUUGGUUUCCCUCUCUAACAAUGCUCAUACCAAAGGGGAUAUCCACUGAUCCCAUACUGUUCCCAGUUACACUACUCCUCAGGAGUUUAAAUCUUAAUCAAAGAAUUUCUGGGUCUUUAUUUCUGGGCCUUGCAGCCAUAGGACUUGUUCAUUUGGCUAAGGCGCCUCCCACUAGACAAGCCCAGGUUCAAUUUGUCACUCGAUGACCACAGAGAAUCCUUCAGCCUAACUAUGGUGAGCCUACAGAAAAAUUAGGCAGCCAAUGAUGAGCACAACUAAGGGGAUGCCAGCCAACCUGAGACAGGAAGGUCAUGCAGCCUGGGUGAUUUCCCCAUUGACAGGGAAUGUUGGCAUCAACGUCCUGGUCACCUAACACAAGCCCUAAUUUAUAUAUAAAGGGGGAGAUGUUGGGCCCCAGCCCCCUCGGUGUGUCUGAGUUGCUUGUCAGCCAGUAACCACAGGUGUAUCCUGUCUUCUAGUCCUGGUUUACAGCCCCAGCCUCGCCCCACUACACCUGAGAAAACAGAAGCUCUUCUUCCAGGAGCUCUUACACCUAGGCUUUUGCAACUGUGGUGUAAGUGUAUAUAAGGCUGCUCUCUCCCUGCAAAAUUAAGACAACGUGGGACAGACACAUAUAGUACAAAUGGCCUGACUGUUUUUAAUUAAAUCUCCCGGUUUCCCUGAUACUCGGAUUUAGUCAGGGUUCAGAUGCCACAACCUCAGAGAUGAAAUUUACUGAGGAGGUUGGGGACAUCUGGUGAUUAGGGGACUCUGCUCCAGUUCCCAGUGUUGGGUUACCAGGAUGCACUGGGAGACUUGGUUCUAGUGACGAUUGUAAGGUCACUUGAGGACGUUGUCUCCUUUCAGAUUCCACACAUUCUUUGGCUCUUCCAUCCCCAUGGAUAAUCAAAUCCAAUACCUAUGCCCACCCUUUGAGGACCCUCGAUUUCAGUCACAGCCCUUCAAGGCCUUACUGAUUCAAUCAUAAUUGUUUUCUUUGGUUUCUUAUUGAUGCAGGCUAAUCUGGAAACAAUUUUGUUGACUAAGCAGUCCUUAAUCUCAGAUUACCAUGCCUUACCCUCCUGAGUGCUAGCAUUAAAGGUGUGGAAAACCUGAACCCCAGAAGGUUUAAUCAUUGUUUGCAAAUGAAUAUGGAGUGAGAGCUUUGUGAAAUUGCAACUGAGAACAUAGGCCUGGCCCCCUUAGUGCUAAACUUGAGAGGAAAUUGGACUGUGAAAUAGGUGUUUUUAUGUCUGCCUCGUGUGUGGAGUCCCAUAGCAUAGAAAAGGGUUUUAGAUUCCCUGGAUUCAGAUAAACAGACAUUUGUGACUUUCCUGAUGAAAGUGCUAGAAAUCAAAUUAAAAGCUUCAAGGUCAGCAAGCCCACUGUUCCUUUGUUCUGUGCAUAAGAUUUUUUGCCCGUCCAUGGGUGUGUACAACAUGGGCAUGCUUAAGACUCUAGGAGCCAGGAUGAUGGACUCAGCUACCCACCAACUGGGGUUCCAGAUAAAUUGUUGUAAGCCAUCUACUGGGAGCUUUGAAGUACCCUUCCAUUGCAAAGAAAGAAUUUUUCUCGCUCAUUGUGAAAGGCCAGGAUAAAGAAGACCCCCCCCCCCAGCAGACAAAGUAAAGUCUCGAAUAUAGGGUGGCUAGCUGGUUCAGCAACUCUGUUCCAGGAAAAGGCUAACCAUAAAAAGUUAGAUUAGAAUCUUACAAAUGAUCUUAAGGAACAGGAGGUUUCCCCUUGUGAUUUUCUUCAGGACCUCCCACUGGUAUUCUAGGUAUUUUGGGUUGUGGAUUCUUCCUUUAAAAACCCCCAUUCCCAGCCAUUCGGGGUUGAACUCCUCUACCCCUGCGUGGGAUAUGAGUCUCGGCCCCAGCGUGCUGGUUCCUAUCAAUAAACCUCGUGUGAUUGCAGCAAAGAUGGUCUCUCAUGAGUUUUUGGUGGCACCUCACCCUGACGCUUGAGUGAGGGUUUCCCCUCUCUGGGGGUGUUUCAUUUGGGGGCUCAUCCUGGGACUUGCGACCACCCUUGUCUCGGAAGCGCCACUUGGAGGUGAGAUAUAUUGUCUGUGUCUUUGUGUUCUUGUGCCGGCUGAAAGCUAGUUCUGUGCUUUGCAGUCGCUCGUGUCUCGGGAAGAGACAGAGGGCUCUCAUCUUGGGAGGAGACAGAGUGUGAUCAGCAGACGUGCUAGGAGAGCCCUGACUGCUGACCUGGGAGAUGUCCCAGAGGUCUGGGGGAACCGAGGUUCCUGUCUGGGUGCUGGUGAGGAUAAGGUAAUUCUCCUGGAUUGGAGAGUUACACACCCUCCGGCAGUCUGUAUUUCUGGAGUGGUUUUGUCUGUUUAAGUGGCGAUAUCUGUUAGCUUUUGUGUGUCUUGGGUUUUUGUUUUGUCUUAUUUGUGACUUUGACGAUGGGACAGCCUGACCAGUCCCUGAGUCUGACUAUGGACCAUUGGACUGAAAGUAGGACAGGAGCACACAAUUUACCAGUUGAGAUUAAGAAGAAAGGACCGUGGCAGACUUUUUGCUCCUCUGAGUGCCUGGCGUUUGAUGUUGGCUGGCCUCCAGAGGGCACUUUUGACUUAACCAUUAUUCUUGAAAUUAAAGCCAUUGUCUUUCAGGAAGGACCGAGAUCCCAUUCCCAUUAACAGUCCUACAUUACUGUAUGGCAGGAUUUGAUUCAGAAUCCCACACCUUGGGUAAAACCCUGUGUGUGAGGAUGGAGGCCGGGCUACCGAGCCCUGGCUCUCUGAAAGUCGAGCACAAACAGCAACCUGAAGUUCUGCCCCAGAAUCGACCUUCGGCUCCUUCUAAAAUCUAUCCCAAGAUAGAGGAGCCACCUGAGUGGCCCAACCCUCCUCCACUGUAUGUUUCUUAUUGAUUGUUGAAUAAAAUACUGUUUGGACAACGAGACAGCAAGUAAGAUGGGACUAGGGGUCAAAGAGGAUUCUGGGAAAUGUAGUAGAGAAGUGGUGAUCCAGGCAGGAAGUGACAUAGCAAGGAGACUCAUAUUUAAGCAAAGGAGAAACAGGAAGGGUCCCUUUUUUCCAUUCUUCCUCCAGUGGCCUGAUGUGAGCCACUGGCAAGGAGGGACGCCAACAAGGCAUCCGAUAAGUCUUAUGAAAUAUAUAGAUUUAUGAUAAUUAAGACUGAGCUAACAGAUGAGAAUCCUAGUCAUUGGCCAAGCAGCUUUGAACCUAAUACAAGUUUCUGUGUAUUCAUUUGGGCCUAACUUGGGCGGGCGGCUGGCAGAAAGCUCACACGUGGCGGUGGGGCUCAGGCAGCAUUUGGCAGAAAGAUUUAUGGUAACAGUGCCCUUUCAUUGUAACUUAAAUUCCGGAUGCAGCACCCUACCCUGAUCCUUCUGCAAUAUGUAGAUGACCUCCUGCUGGCAGCCCCGACUGAACAGGACUGUAAACAAGGUACUGGACUGUAAACAAGGUACUGGGCCCUUUUGGAGAAACUAGGGACCCUGGGGUACCAUGCCUCAGCUAAAAAGGCACAGAUUUGUCAGCAGAAAGUCAUAAAAGUGUCAGAGAAGAAUGUAAACUACUUACUAUGGGCUCUCGUAUCUACAAAUAGUAAAUUUAUAAUAAUAUAUAAAUUAAAAAUUUUAACAACACCAGGUUAAUACUGUAAGUUUUAUAUCCCCCCCCCAAAUUGUGUAUACUUGUUAAAAGGUUCUAUCUGUGUUUUCUGGUAUAAACGUAAAUUUUAUUAUAAGCCAAAAGCCAAAACAAAAAAAAAAAACUAUGUCAGAUGUUUACAUUGCUAACAACAAAUUUUUAAAGAUAAACCUGACAAUAUAAAGUCUUAGUUUUAUAAAAGUUGCUAACCUAUUAUAAGAUGUUAAAAAAAUACAAGUUACUAGCCAUUCUUAUAAAUAAACAAGCUGCCAGACUUACCUAGGCAGACUUCUAAUACUACAGAGAUCUACAGAAUAUGGCAUUUAAAAUGUUAACUAAAAAGUUUAUAAUAUCAGAUGGAGAAUUCCAGAUUCUGACAAUGACCCAAGGUCUGUAAAGAUUAUGGGGCUUCAUGGAUUGUGACAACGCUGACCAAUGAGCACGAUGCUCAGAUGCUACACCUGAUGCCAGGCAGGACCAGGCUGAGACUGUGGACAGGCUACAGGACACUGGAGAAUUGAUUGCACCACCUUUGCCUGGACAAAAUAAGGUCAGUCUUUUCCAUGUCCCUCUUCCACAGAGAAAAACUCUCACUUUAUGAACCUGGCAAAGACUUUCUUCUGCCCCCAACACUAUUGAGACUCGGGUAUGGCUAACUUUAUAUGGACUGGACCCUGUCAUUUUUAAUAGAUUCAGAAACUGAAUCUCUGAUAGUAUUAAUGGUUAAACUAUAGCCAGCUUAAUAGCUCAUUUAAUAAAGUUCUGAUAAGCUGAUAAAACCAACUACCUGCUGUUCAGUCACAAGCUGGAGGUUUUUAGAUUGACUUUAGUUGUCAUCUAAAUAUAAACUUAAAGGGCUUUUCAUCAGGCCAAAGGCACCUCUGUCCAAUCUAUACUUGACUCUCUAGACAGAAGAAAAAUAUACAAGCUUCUAACCCAAAUCUCUAGUUUUUACUAGAACUCAAAAGUAUAAAUAUAUUUCUGCCGUUCUACAGAUAUCCAAUAUCUGCUUUUUCUACAAUAGAUUUCAAUACAGAUUAGUAAUAAAGUUCAUAUAGGCUUCAAAGGAUCAAAAGUCAUAAAGCUUGGAUCCACUUCUCACAGGUAAAAAGGACUCCAGAUAAGUACAACUUUUGUUAUUCCAUCUAUUUGUUCCGGAGGAUGGGAUUUUUCUCCCCUGUCUUGGAACUCCUGUCCUUCUUGACCACUAAAAAUAUAGGCCUAAAAAUUACAAUAAGAAAAAAAUUUAACUUCUGUUCCCAGUUUAAACGUGUCUCAACAGAUUUCCAAUUCUGACAGAUGAGUAUCAGUUGCUGACUACAGCCUGCUCCUAAAGACUGUGAGCCCUAGACUUGCUAUGGAUGUGAACCAGUCCAGCUGAUGUGGACACUCUCUAUCUCUGCAACAGAGUCUGCCAACCAGAAGCUCCUGAUGGAUUCCCCAUUGCCUAAAUUCCCUUUUUUUGCUUUUGACUAGCAUUUCAGCUUUCUUGGGUCCCUAACUUCGUCCCAAAGUCAGCAGGAAGUAGCAUAGAAAAGAAUACGUCGCCCAUUUUCCCUGGUUAAAAUGCUAAGUCAAAAGGAAUUCCCUUACAUGGGGAAAUACCAAUAUCUCUCACUCCUGAUGGGGGACGCAGAGGUGGCGGCCAGGGUGGGCACCGGAACCGCAGCACUGGUGCAGGGACCCCACCACUAUAAUGAGCUAAAAACAGCCAUAGAUAAGGAUAUUAAAGCCAUAAAAGGAUUCAUCACUAAAUUAGAAAAGUCUUUGGCUUCUCUAGCGGAAGUUGCCCUCCAGAAUCGUAGGGACUUGAUCUCCUUUUCCUUAAGGAAGGCGGACUCUAUGCUGCCCUAAAAGAGGAGUGCUGUUUCUAUGUUAACCAUUCUAGAGUUAUUAGAGAUUCCAUGGCCAAGCUCAGAGAAAGACUCAACCAGCGGUGAAAGCAACGGGAGUCCCAACAAGGCUGGUUUAAAGGAUGGUUUAACAGCUCCCCUUGGCUCACUACCCUAAUCUGCCCCCCCCUAGUUCUAAAUCAACAAGAAGGACCAUAGGUUUUAGGAUUAAAACCUCAGCCAAAAAAAAAAAAAUGGGUGAAUUAAAGAUUUUAGUUUGCUGAAAGUUUUGAAAUAUUUUAGUUCAGAGAGAGAAUUUCCCACAGGCCUUGCCCCAGGACAAGGAAGUUGGCCCCAACUCGAGGGCAGACAAUCCUUUUUGGGUCACACCUGGCUGGUCAACAGACAAUCAAGGACUUUUCAGGGUACAUUCUAUGGUCUUUCCUUUGUAGAAAAACAGAGUGACACCUGGGUGAACACUCUAACAUGAGAUCAUACUUUGUAUUCAAUCACUUUGUGCCCCUUGCCUGUAUGCUGAUCUGUGUUUUCCUUUCCUAUAUAAGGAGCUUGCACCCCAUGCUGGGGUGUGCAGCUUUCCUGGUAUUGCUGAUACCCAAAUGCGAAUUCGUUCAAUAAACC
ensembl:lncRNA